GAUGAACGCUAGCGGCAGGCUUAAUACAUGCAAGUCGUGGGGCAGCAUGAGUAGCAAUACUUGAUGGCGACCGGCAAACGGGUGAGGAACACGUACACAACCUUCCUUCAAGCGGGGAAUAGCCCAGAGAAAUUUGGAUUAAUACCCCAUAAUAUAUUUGAUAAGGCAUCUUAUUAAUAUUAAAGCUUCGGCACUUGAUGAUGGGUGUGCGGCUGAUUAGAUAGUUGGCGGGGUAACGGCCCACCAAGUCUACGAUCAGUAGCUGAUGUGAGAGCAUGAUCAGCCACACGGGCACUGAGACACGGGCCCGACUCCUACGGGAGGCAGCAGUAAGGAAUAUUGGACAAUGGACGAAAGUCUGAUCCAGCCAUGCCGCGUGAAGGAUUAAGAUCCUCUGGAUUGCAAACUUCUUUAUAUGGGACAAAAAAGGGCAUUCUGUUCACUUGACGGUACCAUAUGAAUAAGCACCGGCUAACUCCGUG
rnacentral:rRNA from 1 species